rnacentral:lncRNA from 10 species
CUGGGACGUCAGGUCUAUGGGCCAUCCAGGUCAGAACUCUCUUGACCUCACCCUGCAACGGGUCCUCCAAGGACCAUGAGCCUUGGGGGAGGCGGGAACCAGGUCUGAUUCAACUCCGUAUGACCAGGUGCAGCACAAUGUAGGGCUCAAUCUGAGUUGGAAUAUGACACCAAGAGGAACAUCCCAAGUCCCCGAGUCAGGGGUCUGCGCCCCGGUGGACAGUGGGGUCUGAGAGCGACCACCUACCGAGGCUCCUCUUCUCGGCGUGGGGGGGUCUGCAGCUGGAUGGGACCCAGGACGACGUCCACCUUUUCCUGGUAGGAGCCCACAUCCCUCUUCGACCUCAACACACAGCCUCGGUAGCAGCGGGAAGAGGGGUCAUACGCUCUGCACACCACCAUUUUACAACGCAGGUACACGGAGGGGAAGCGGUUCAGGAAGUGGAAGGCCCUGAACCGGAAGCGGGCAAUGCGAAGAGAUGGCGAGGAGUAGGGUCCGUAGGUGUCAUCCCUCACGCAUCUGGAAGAGAACAGUAGCCCCUUAGCUCUCACCAAGGCCCGAUUCUUCCUUCAUGACUCAGUUGUACCAGUGCCAACAGUUGUCACAAUAAACCGUAUGACUUAAACCAUACGACCGCAAUAAACCCUUUUGUCAGGCCUCUGAGCCCAAGCCUGCACAUAUACAUCCAGAUGGCCUGAAGUAACUGAAGAAUCACAAAACAAGUAAAAAUGGCUGGUUCCUGCCUUAACUGAUGACGUUACCUUGUGAAAUUCCUUCUCCUGGCUCAGAAGCUCCCCCACUGAGCACCUUGUGACCCCCGCCCCUGCCCGC